rnacentral:lncRNA from 1 species
UGCUGGAUCCUUAACCCACUGCACUGGCUGGGGAUCAAACCUGCAUCUCAGUGUUCCCAAGAGGCCACGGAUCCCGUUGCACCCCAGAGAGAACUCCAUGGUACUGAGAGCAAAUAUCCUUAUCUUGUCCCUAGCUUGAACUGGAUCUGCCUUUAGCAUUUCAGCAUUAAAUAUCAUGUUGAUACUGUUUUAACAAAGAUAUCCUUUGCUCUUUCCAGAAUUAUAUGCCUAGUUCUCCCUACCAAUUUUGGGGAAUCCAGAGUUUGUACCAAUGUGGGCACUGCUACUGUAUACGAAUGAUUAAACAACCAAAAAAACCUCCCAAUUGGAUAAACAAACUGCUCUAAACUCAGUCACUGCCAAUCAUGUAAAUUUGAAUGACUGAAUCCCUACUCUAUUCUUCCAAGCCUGAAACAAUCCAAAAGAAAGGCUGUCUAGACACCAAAUGGUGGUCAUAAAUUUCAUCUUCUCUUUUUCUGUUUCCUUUGUUAUUUUUAGUAGAAGUCUAUAAUAAGCACAUAAAUAAGCAUUUGGGAUUUUGUGAGAGACAGCUCAGAUUUUAAGAUUUAUGGCCUUUAUAUUAAGCACUUUGUACAUGUUUAUUUCACAACAAAAAUUUAACAUAAAAUGCCCUUACUAAUGAAGUGAAAAUUUGUUACUACUAGUCAGGAAAAUCAGUGGCAAAAAAAUGGUUUUGUGAUCAUGGCCACAUAAGAGUAAGUGAACUCUGACAAAGUAGGAUGGUAUCUACUUCACUCACCAUUAUAUAUCAUAUAUAUUACUAUGGGCUGGCACAUACUAAGUGCUCAGUAAAUAUCUGAUGAAUUAAAUUGAUUCAAAGAUAUAGAGAACAAUGUCCUGAAGUUGGGUCAUUGCACAAUGGACAUGACAGAAUUCAGGUUCUAUAUAAUUUUAAGAGGAUAUUAAUAGGUAUUUGUGGCCUGGCAGGAAGUAAUGCUUACAGUGCUAGGAAUUUUCUCUGAUUCAAUUCCACUACUAUUUUAAGUAGUAGGCACUAUCAUCAGCUACAUUCAGAAUGCCCAGGUGUUCAGAGAGGUUAAGGAACUUGUACAAACCAUGCUUCAAAUCCAUGCCUUUCCUCCACUCUAGCAUGCUACCUGCUAUAACACAUAAUGUGUGGUUUGUAUUUAUCCCUGACCAGCCAGUCUAAAGGGCUCUGCCUCAUUUACUCUUUCAUCACCCUACCUAUUUCCUUCUAGUAGGUAACAAUAUUUAUGAUGGUCUUGUUUAUUUUUUCCCUUGUCAAUUAUCUGACUCUUGAGAGACGUAUAUUAUCUAACUUGUUCACAGCCACAUCGUGGUGCCUACAACAUAGUAAGUGCUCGAUACUUAUUGAGUGCAUUGAACGAAUGAGUGAAUGAGUUCAUGAGGUGACCUACCAUAAUAUUAGAAGUACCAUAAUACUAGAAGAAGAUUAACUUAGGUAAAGAGAACUACACAGGGUCACCAAACUAU